rnacentral:rRNA from 1 species
GUGGGGAAUAUUGCACAAUGGGCGCAAGCCUGAUGCAGCGACGCCGCGUGAGGGAUGACGGCCUUCGGGUUGUAAACCUCUUUCAGUAGGGAAGAAGCCGCUUGCGGUGACGGUACCUGCAGAAGAAGCGCCGGCUAACUACGUGCCAGCAGCCGCGGUAAUACGUAGGGCGCAAGCGUUGUCCGGAAUUAUUGGGCGUAAAGAGCUCGUAGGCGGUUUGUCGCGUCUGCUGUGAAAACGCGAGGCUUAACCUCGCGCCUGCAGUGGGUACGGGCAGGCUAGAGUGCGGUAGGGGAGACUGGAAUUCCUGGUGUAGCGGUGGAAUGCGCAGAUAUCAGGAGGAACACCGAUGGCGAAGGCAGGUCUCUGGGCCGUUACUGACGCUGAGGAGCGAAAGCAUGGGGAGCGAACAGGAUUAGAAACCCUUGUAGUCC